rnacentral:rRNA from 1 species
AGUGAACGCUGGCGGUAGGCCUAACACAUGCGAGUCGAACGGCAGCACAGUAAGAGCUUGCUCUUACGGGUGGCGAGUGGCGGACGGGAGAGGAAUACAUCGGAAUCUACUUUUUCGUGGGGGAUAACGUAGGGAAACUUACGCUAAUACCGCAUACGACCUACGGGUGAAAGCAGGGGAUCUUCGGACCUUGCGCGAUUGAAUGAGCCGAUGUCGGAUUAGCUAGUUGGCGGGGUAAAGGCCCACCAAGGCGACGAUCCGUAGCUGGUCUGAGAGGAUGAUCAGCCACACUGGAACUGAGACACGGUCCAGACUCCUACGGGAGGCAGCAGUGGGGUAUAUUGGACAAUGGGCGCAAGCCUGAUCCAGCCAUCCCGCGUGGGUGAAGAAGGCCUUCGGGUUGUAAAGCCCUUUUGUUGGGAAAGAAAAGCAGCAGGUUAAUACCCCGCUGUUCUGACGGUACCCAAAGAAUAAGCACCGGCUAACUUCGUG